AUGAGGUUCCAGGGCCCCCGGUGUUCGUUCCGGGAGGACGCCGCCGACAUGGCUGGCGCCAUCUUCAUGUCCAACAGCGAAACGAGGGAUCACUGCUUCAACACCGGCGUCUUCGGGCUACCGCCAGAGUAUGGGCCCUUUGUGGCCAAUGUCAAGCAGGGGAUGCCCCUGUUCCUCUUUGACUACACCUUCCGUAAGCUUUAUGGCGUCUUUGAGGCCGCCUCCGAUGGAAGCAUGGAUAUUAGCAGGACCACAUUCCGAUCCACUGGCCGCACGUACCCCGCACAGGUUUGCUUCAAUAUUGUUUGGAAGUGCAGACCGCUCACUGAAGAUGAGUUUUUUCCUGCAAUAGAAGAGAACUACUAUAUCUCAAAAAAGUUCUACUUCGACCUUUCCUAUCAGCAGGUCGUCCAGCUAUAUGGCUUAUUUGACAAAAAGAGGGUAGAGCACCCUAUUUGCAAUUAUUCAACAAGUGCUAAUCUGGAAAAGGAGCAUUCAAGCAGAAGGAGACCAGAUAAAAGGAGCUUGUCUCCCAAUAGUCCUCCUUUUUCUGCUGAUCGUUCCCACACUUUGAUACCCUCGAGUACCCCAAAGAUCUCAACUGUCGAAACAAACUGCUCUGCUUCUACAAGCAUGCAUCUAAUUGCACCACCUACUUUUGAGACACAGCCAAAUGUGUCAAUGCCCUUGGUAACCAAAGCUUUUGGAGCCCAGACCGCUCCCAUCUACGGCAACCAGAUAAAAUUACCUUAUCAUAGUCAACAACAUCUCCCAGAUGUUUCAGCAAUAGAUGGCACUUCAACUCAGGUGUCUGCUCCUUGCUCUCAGGCAGCUAAAUACCACCAAGAUCAGUUUGUGGCAAAUCAGUCGUACCCAUCAUCUGAUGAUUAUCCGCACAAUAGCUUGUCUUCUGGGUGCAUGACACAAGGCCCAACUGAUGGAGUUAGGUUGUCAGUAAAGCAGUCAUAUGGAGGCAGUAGCUUGUCAUGUUCUCGGUAUUUAACUCAGGUUCCAACUGGUGAUGAAAGAAGCUAUUUGACCUCAACUCCAUAUUUCCCAUCAUACCAUGAUUCAUCUCUGGAAAGUCCGCAACACAAUGCUCACUGGAAGGAUGAUUACGACAUUAACUGCGACCAAUGCAGAGAGAUGUAUGCAUCUGAGCGUCUGCAUUUAAACAGACGAAAAUCUGUUACACCUCCAGAAUCAACUCAGCUAGGUAUUCCGGCUUACCCUGAAGCUCCUAAAGUAUCAGCGAUCAUUCAACAUAAAGAAAGCUUUACUGGCUACAUCCCAAUCCAUGAUCGCCCUGAGGACUUGGAAAAAGAACAACAGAGGCGUGAUUUUAAUCGUGAUGGUUCAGCCUCAUCAGGUUCUGGACAUGAAACAUUAGCCUACAUUUCAGAUCGACCAUAUACUGAUCAUGAUGUUGGAUCUGAAAGCAAGAUGGCAGUUCCUAGUCAGCGCCCACAAAAGAAUGUGUUUUCUCGCUUAUCAGUGAAGCCACAACUACCUCCCCAAGAAGUUACGGGUCCUUCAAUGAACCAAUUGCUCUAUUUACUUUCUCAGAGAACAAAACAGUGGAGCAACAAGAGUAUAAGUCCUAGAGAAGAUGUUUGUAAACAGCUGGUCCGUGAACAGGACAUGGACAUGCCCUGUCCUCUUCCAGAGCUAAACCUGCCAAGUGGACUAGAAGGAGAAGAAAGCGCAGAUCCUCCCUUCUUGAACUUCAAGAGGCGCAGCAAAGCGGCUGGGCUGGAUACAAACGUAGAAAAGGAGGUUACCGACAGAAAGAAGAGAAGAAAGCUUGUGCGCCCUUCUUUUGGAGUAAAUAACACCACUGGUACUUCUGGAAAUGAUCUCCAAGGGAAUGCCAUAGUUGAAGUGCGCCCUUCACAUGAAGAAAAUAACACUACUGGUAAUUCUGGAAGUGACCUCCAGGGGAAUGCCAUUACUGAAAGGAAUCAAAGCCCUGCUUCCAUAGUUGAAAGGAAUCAAAGCUCUGCCUCCAUGGUUGAAAUGAAUCAUAGCCCUGCUGCCAUAACUGAAAGGAAUCAAAGCCCUGCUGCCAUAGUUGAAAGGAAUCAAAGCCUUGCUUCCAUAGUUGAAAGGAAUCAAAGCCCUGCUGCCAUAAUUGAAAGGAAUCAUAGCCCUGUCGAAACUGAUGGUAACAAGUUCAUCAUUGACCUAAAUGAACCGGCAUCUGUAGAAAGUGAUCUGGCAGAGGAUGGUAGCAUUGCACCGUGUCCUGUUGCUACCAACACACAGACAGAAAAAUCCUGUGAAGUAGAUGUCAAAAAGCAAAACUGCUCAAAUUCGGCCGGGGUAAUCACCAAACAAGAUGUACAGUCUGACAGUGGUGCACCUACAGAGAAGAUUACACUUGAUCUGAACAUUACAGAUCUGAACACAAUGGACGAGGUGAAACUGCAAGCGAUCCUUGGUUCAUCAUUGUUGCAAGCACUUGACAAGCUCAGAAAUAGCAAGUCCAACGACGACUCCAACAAGGCUAAAUCAAGCGCCUCUGAUAAAAAUAAUAACAGCCAGGUGAAAAUGGAGAUGAAAUCCGAAACGAGCACCAGACAUAGAUGCAAUUGA
rnacentral:rRNA from 1 species